rnacentral:rRNA from 1 species
AUUGAACGCUGGCGGCAGGCUUAACACAUGCAAGUCGAGCGGGGGAAGGUAGCUUGCUACCGGACCUAGCGGCGGACGGGUGAGUAAUGCUUAGGAACCUGCCUAUUAGUGGGGGACAACAUCUCGAAAGGUAUGCUAAUACCGCAUACGUCCUACGGGAGAAAGCAGGGGAUCUCCGGACCUCGCGCUAAUAGAUGAGCCCAAGUCGGAUUAGCUAGUUGGUGGGGGAAAGGCCUACCAAGGCGGCGAUCUGUAGCGGGUCUGAGAGGAUGAUCCGCCACACUGGGACUGAGACACGGCCCAGACUCCUACGGGAGGCAGCAGUGGGGAAUAUUGGACAAUGGGGGGAACCCUGAUCCAGCCAUGCCGCGUGUGUGAAGAAGGCCUUAUGGUUGUAAAGCACUUUAAGCGAGGAGGAGGCUACUCUAGUUAAUACCUAGGGAUAGUGGACGUUACUCGCAGAAUAAGCACCGGCUAACUCUGUGCCAGCAGCCGCGGUAA